rnacentral:tmRNA from 1 species
CACGUAGAUGGUUUUAUGACGUCACUUUCGGACGGGGGUUCGAUUCCCCCCACCUCCACCA